rnacentral:rRNA from 1 species
GACGAACGCUGGCGGCGUGCUUAACACAUGCAAGUCGAACGGAAAGGCCCUGCUUUUGUGGGGUGCUCGAGUGGCGAACGCGUGAGUAACACGUGUGUAACCUGCCCUUGACUUUGGGAUAACUUCAGGAGACUGCGGCUAAUACCGGAUAGGAGCUCCUGCUGCAUGUGGGGGGUUGGAAAGUUUCGGCGGUUGGGGAUGGACUCGCGGCUUAUCAGCUUCUUGGUGGGGUAGUGGCUUACCAAGCCUUUGACGGGUAGCCGGCCUGAGAGGGUGAACGGCCACAUUGGGACUGAGAGACGGCCCAGACUCCUACGGGAGGCAGCAGUGGGGAAUAUUGCACAACGGGCGGAAGCCUGAUGCAGCAACGCCGCGUGCGGGAUGACGGCCUUCUGGUUGUAAACCGCUGUCGCCUGUGACGAAGAGUGAGUGACGGUAAUGGGUAAAGAAGCACCGGCUAACUACGUG